rnacentral:rRNA from 1 species
UACGUAGGCAGCGAGCGUUGUUCGGAAUUACUGGGCGUAAAGAGUGUGUAGGCGGUGCUCUAAGUUCGGUGUGAAAUCUCCUGGCUCAACUGGGAGGGUGCGCCGGAAACUGGAGUGCUUGAGCGUGGGAGAGGAAAGCGGAAUUCCUGGUGUAGCGGUGAAAUGCGUAGAUAUUCGGAGGAACACCAGUGGCGAAGGCGGCUCACUGGUCCAUUACUGACGCUGAGGCGCGAAAGCGUGGGGAGCAAACAGG